AAACGGCUGCUAAUACCGCAUACCGCCCUGGAGGGGAAAGGUGGGGACCUUCGGGCCUACCGCGAUUGGAUGCACCCAUGUGGGAUUAGCUAGUUGGUGAGGUAACGGCUCACCAAGGCGACGAUCUCUAGCUGGUCUGAGAGGAUGACCAGCCACACUGGAACUGAGACACGGUCCAGACUCCGUACGGGAGGCAGCAGGUGGGAAUAUUGCACAUGGGGGAAACCCUGAUGCAGCCAUGCCGCGUGUGUGAAGAAGGCCUUCGGGUUGUAAAGCACUUUCAGUAGGGAGGAAGGGUUGAUGUCUAAUACGCAUCAACAUUGACGUUACCUACAGAAGAAGCACCGGCUAACUCCGUG
rnacentral:rRNA from 1 species